CACAGUUCUGCUGGGUGGCUGUUGGAAACAUUGACUGGCUAGAAGACAGUUAUGAGAUGGAUUGCUAUACUGUUGAAGGCUCUGACUAUGUUUCCCUAAGCUGAACAGACUUCAAAACUGCUUUAUUUCUACUCCUGAGAUUUUUAGGAAGAAAGAAAUAAAACUGAUCACCAGGAAGAUCUUUUUGGCAGAAGAACCAUAAGCUGGCCUUAAGAAAGAAACACAGAAUUGCAAAAUUAGAAAAGACCUAGAGAUCAUUUAGUCCACUGCUUCACUACGGGAUCAAGUCUGCUCCAUGGUAUUCUAAAAUGAUGGCCAUCAAACUUCUAGGACUGAGGAGCUGACAAGUGGACAUGAGGGAGUGGAGCUGCUGGAGGCAGAUUGUAAACUCCUUGAGGGUAAUGACAGUGCUUAGAACAAUGCCCAGAAUAUAUCAGUGCUUAACAAAAGCUUAUUGACAAUCUCCUAGAAAAGGAUUCUGGUGUCAAUACCACA
rnacentral:lncRNA from 1 species